UACGAACUGUGCGAACGUUAUUCGGAAUCACUGGGCUUAAAGGGUGCGUAGGCGGCUACAAAGGUCAGAUGUGAAAUCCCACGGCUCAACCGUGGAACUGCGUCUGAAACCAUGUAGCUUGAGGGAGUCAGAGGUAAGCGGAACUGAUGGUGGAGCGGUGAAAUGCGUUGAUAUCAUCAGGAACACCGGUGGCGAAAGCGGCUUACUGGGACUUUUCUGACGCUGAGGCACGAAAGCUAGGGGAGCGAACGGG
rnacentral:rRNA from 1 species